UCCAGUUUGGAGGAAGGCGAGUGAGAUGCUGAGGACAGACGCCGUGUGAUUGAUGUCUGCUGGAAGGAAAAUUGAAUUCUUCAGCUGCAGUCCAGGACCCUGCAGGAAGCCAAGCGUGCCGCCGUUCAUUAUCCUUCUAACACUGGGAAGUUACGGCUGGGCCAGGCUACUUGAUACCACCACAGGAUCUGCUUGAAGGUAUGGAAAGAGAGCAGCUGGCAGCAGGGAUCAGGAAGAAAGGCAACGCUACAGACAGAGGACAUACCUCGCUCCCACACCCAGACUCACUCUUGGCUCCAAACACACGUAUCGUAGAUGUAAUAUAACGACGUAUAAUCCAGAAUAUAAUUCUAGACAGAUGGUCGGCUGUGCAAGCUGCAGCCGAUAUGGGGGGAAGCUGCUCAUAACUGCUUUGUGCUUUUGGCAGUGCUUGUUUAGGUUUGGCCGGCUAAUUUCUGCUUAACGCUGGCUUAUUAUUUUGAACACACAAGGUACUGCACAAUAAUUGUCAGAAAAAUGUCCAGGAGCUUCACAUCAUUCUGUUUUAUGGGACGGUGUUUCAUAUCGGCACAAGACAAUGGAUUUGCUGGGUGUAAUUCACCACGGGUUCGAUUUCCACAGCGCUAAUUAAGUGCCAUGGAUGAAAUAUACUGGAACAAAAAACAACCCAAAUGUUUGGAUGUGCUGCGCCUGCACUGAUUCCAGGUACUGUACCGAACCAAACAACUAACAACCUAUGAGGGACGCAGGUACGAAGGAAAGUCGCCAUAUCUGCAGAGCACACAAAUUUAAGAGGAUCUGUAUCAU